rnacentral:rRNA from 1 species
GACGAACGCUGGCGGCGUGCCUAACACAUGCAAGUCGAACGAGGACGGUCCUUCGGGAUCGAGCCGAGUGGCGGACGGGUGAGUAACACGUGACCAAUCUGCCUUUGAGAGGGGGAUAACCUGGGGAAACUCGGGCUAAUACCGCAUGACGUGUCGUGCUCGCAUGGGCGUGACACCAAAGGAAGCCUCUACUUGUAAGCCUUCGCUCGAAGAGGAGGUCGCGGCGUAUCAGCUAGUUGGUAGGGUAACGGCCUACCAAGGCGACGACGCGUAGCGGGUCUGAGAGGACGACCCGUCACAUUGGGACUGAGAUACGG